CCCUAGCCCCGAUAGUAGUGAAAUCCUUUCUAUUUUUCCUUUAAAAAUAGAAAGAUUGAAGCGGAUAGCGGGAAAUAGC
rnacentral:snRNA from 1 species